rnacentral:rRNA from 1 species
UAACCUGCCUCUUAGCGGGGGAUAACUAUUGGAAACGAUAGCUAAUACCGCAUAAAAGUCGACAUUGCAUGAUGUUGACCUGAAAGGUGCAAUUGCAUCACUAAGAGAUGGACCUGCGUUGUAUUAGCUAGUUGGUGAGGUAACGGCUCACCAAGGCGACGAUACAUAGCCGACCUGAGAGGGUGAUCGGCCACACUGGGACUGAGACACGGCCCAG